GACGAACGCUGGCGGCGUGCUUAACACAUGCAAGUCGAACGGAAAGGCCCUGCUUUUGUGGGGUGCUCGAGUGGCGAACGGGUGAGUAACACGUGAGUAACCUGCCCUUGACUUUGGGAUAACUUCAGGAAACUGGGGCUAAUACCGGAUAGGAGCUCCUGCUGCAUGGUGGGGGUUGGAAAGUUUCGGCGGUUGGGGAUGGACUCGCGGCUUAUCAGCUUGUUGGUGGGGUAGUGGCUUACCAAGGCUUUGACGGGUAGCCGGCCUGAGAGGGUGACCGGCCACAUUGGGACUGAGAUACGGCCCAGACUCCUACGGGAGGCAGCGGUGGGGAAUAUUGCACAAUGGGCGGAAGCCUGAUGCAGCAACGCCGCGUGCGGGAUGACGGCCUUCGGGUUGUAAACCGCUUUCGCCUGUGACGAAGCGUGAGUGACGGUAAUGGGUAAAGAAGCACCGGCUAAUUACGUG
rnacentral:rRNA from 1 species